AGAACACUUAGAAACUCAACAAAACACAGAGCCUGAGCUGGAGGAAGGGACAUGCAUGGCACCCUGGGGGGCAGGAGGGAUGGACACUGCCCAUGACUCAGCGCUGCUUUACCUCAGGUCCACUGGCAGGAUCCAGGGUGAGAGAAGUUUGCUAUUGAUCUGCAGUGAGAUAAGAGCAGAAGACCAAAGGAGCCAAGGGAAAAAGUGACAGAGGACGUAAGACUAGGAAGACAGCAAAGACAGACGCUGACUGCCACUGCUGGGGCCUAAGGUAAUCACUUCACCUCUCAUUCUAAAAAUUGAGUAAAAUGGGAUGUUUGGGGUAAAUAGUCUCAAAAAACCUUCAGUUCUACAAUAAGAUGAUUCCUAUCUCAUAACUUUGCUUUAUUCAUCCUACAGAAACCCAGGAUUCACAUGUGUAGAGGCUGCCUCUCAGCAGCAAGGCAACAGAUACUUCCAUCAAGUAGCCAUACCUAAUUAGUAGUACCAUGGCUUUGAGAGGGGUAUAAUAUAAUCUGAAAAGGGCUGUUAGUGCUUAACACUCUUUAAGUCACUCAGAAUUUCAUAAGGGCUCCUACCUCUCAGUUUAUAAAGUAGUACCUAAAAAGCAUUCUUUGAAGGAAUAGCAUUUUAAAGGUAUCUAGAAUCUUUGAACUACUCUAAACAGAGAAAUUAUUCAAAGAAGCCAUAUCUAUCUUUUAUGCAUUUGGAACAAUAAUGAGCUAGGAGGAGAGUUAAGAAUCAUAUCACUUCCUAAAAAGUAAAGAUUACUUUAGUCAAUCUAGUCUGUUGUUAGAUUAGAUAAUAAUUUCUUUCAAAUACAUUUUUAAUAAUAUUCUCCAUGGGAAACUAGCUACAGAUUAAGGCAGAUCCUAUAAUAAAAUUAGAGGACUGGACUUGACACAUUUUAACUGAAGUAGUCUAUUACUUCUACUAUUAGCAGUAAAAAUAAUAAUGGUACGGUACAGACUUACAGAAUUUUGCUCACUACUGCUGUUGAUAAGCAAUAAUUAUGACUGUGACAAUAAAAAUUCAUAUUACCUACUUAGUAAUUUCAACUUUUUUUUUGCAAAGACUUGAAUGUGUUUUCUAUACAUCAGGUUAUCAGUUACUUCUCUGGUCUCUGAAUCCUGCUAACAUCACUGUAAGGAAGGGCACCAUGGCUUCUUGCGGCCUUUAGCUUGGAGAGGGACAGGUAUACAUGUUUACAGGGUGAUGCUAGCUUUUUCUACCUCUUGUUAGUAACAGGUAUUUUUCACUCAAAUUGUAUACUCUUUCUGAAACAAACACCAAGCAUAAUCAAUCAUAGUUCUAGAAACAGAAACAAAAGCAUUUUUCAUGAGAAUUCUAGUCACAUAAUUUCAUGCAUACACAUACAACAAUCUUACAAAUCUUAAUCUCUAUUAAAAUUACU